CUCAAAUAACUUUAUGUCAAAAUAGCAUAAUAGAUUUGUGGGGCCGGCAUGUUGUGCAACAAGGUCACAUAGUGUAAUAAGAUUGGGACUGGGUUAGGGACUUCUAUCCUCACUGUGAGUUGUGUUGGGGUGGGGUGCACAAAGGGAGGCUCAGCCAAUCUCAUU